GCUUGGGGGCGGGCUAAACAUGCAGUCGAGCGGUAGCACAGAGAGCUUGCUCUCGGGUGACGAGCGGCGGACGGGUGAGUAAUGUCUGGGAAACUGCCUGAUGGAGGGGGAUAACUACUGGAAACGGUAGCUAAUACCGCAUAACGUCGCAAGACCAAAGUGGGGGACCUUCGGGCCUCAUGCCAUCAGAUGUGCCCAGAUGGGAUUAGCUAGUAGGUGGGGUAAUGGCUCACCUAGGCGACGAUCCCUAGCUGGUCUGAGAGGAUGACCAGCCACACUGGAACUGAGACACGGUCCAGACUCCUACGGGAGGCAGCAGUGGGGAAUAUUGCACAAUGGGCGCAAGCCUGAUGCAGCCAUGCCGCGUGUAUGAAGAAGGCCUUCGGGUUGUAAAGUACUUUCAGCGAGGAGGAAGGCAUCAAGGUUAAUAACCUUGGUGAUUGACGUUACUCGCAGAAGAAGCACCGGCUAACUCCGUGCCAGCAGCCGCGGUAAUACGGAGGGUGCAAGCGUUAAUCGGAAUUACUGGGCGUAAAGCGCACGCAGGCGGUCUGUCAAGUCGGAUGUGAAAUCCCCGGGCUCAACCUGGGAACUGCAUUCGAAACUGGCAGGCUAGAGUCUUGUAGAGGGGGGUAGAAUUCCAGGUGUAGCGGUGAAAUGCGUAGAGAUCUGGAGGAAUACCGGUGGCGAAGGCGGCCCCCUGGACAAAGACUGACGCUCAGGUGCGAAAGCGUGGGGAGCAAACAGGAUUAGAUACCCUGGUAGUCCACGCCGUAAACGAUGUCGACUUGGAGGUUGUGCCCUUGAGGCGUGGCUUCCGGAGCUAACGCGUUAAGUCGACCGCCUGGGGAGUACGGCCGCAAGGUUAAAACUCAAAUGAAUUGACGGGGGCCCGCACAAGCGGUGGAGCAUGUGGUUUAAUUCGAUGCAACGCGAAGAACCUUACCUACUCUUGACAUCCAGAGAACUUUCCAGAGAUGGAUUGGUGCCUUCGGGAACUCUGAGACAGGUGCUGCAUGGCUGUCGUCAGCUCGUGUUGUGAAAUGUUGGGUUAAGUCCCGCAACGAGCGCAACCCUUAUCCUUUGUUGCCAGCGGUUCGGCCGGGAACUCAAAGGAGACUGCCAGUGAUAAACUGGAGGAAGGUGGGGAUGACGUCAAGUCAUCAUGGCCCUUACGAGUAGGGCUACACACGUGCUACAAUGGCAUAUACAAAGAGAAGCGACCUCGCGAGAGCAAGCGGACCUCAUAAAGUAUGUCGUAGUCCGGAUUGGAGUCUGCAACUCGACUCCAUGAAGUCGGAAUCGCUAGUAAUCGUAGAUCAGAAUGCUACGGUGAAUACGUUCCCGGGCCUUGUACACACCGCCCGUCACACCAUGGGAGUGGGUUGCAAAAGAAGUAGGUAGCUUAACCUUCGGGAGGGCGCUUACCACUUUGGUUCCCGC
rnacentral:rRNA from 1 species